UUGCUUCUCUUGAGAGCGGCGGACGGGUGAGUAAUGCCUAGGAAUCUGCCUGGUAGUGGGGGAUAACGUCCGGAAACGGACGCUAAUACCGCAUACGUCCUACGGGAGAAAGCAGGGGACCUUCGGGCCUUGCGCUAUCAGAUGAGCCUAGGUCGGAUUAGCUAGUUGGUGGGGUAAUGGCUCACCAAGGCGACGAUCCGUAACUGGUCUGAGAGGAUGAUCAGUCACACUGGAACUGAGACACGGUCCAGACUCCUACGGGAGGCAGCAGUGGGGAAUAUUGGACAAUGGGCGAAAGCCUGAUCCAGCCAUGCCGCGUGUGUGAAGAAGGUCUUCGGAUUGUAAAGCACUUUAAGUUGGGAGGAAGGGCAGUAAAUUAAUACUUUGCUGUUUUGACGUUACCGACAGAAUAAGCACCGGCUAACUCUGUGCCAGCAGCCGCGGUAAUACAGAGGGUGCAAGCGUUAAUCGGAAUUACUGGGCGUAAAGCGCGCGUAGGUGGUUCGUUAAGUUGGAUGUGAAAUCCCCGGGCUCAACCUGGGAACUGCAUUCAAAACUGACGAGCUAGAGUAUGGUAGAGGGUGGUGGAAUUUCCUGUGUAGCGGUGAAAUGCGUAGAUAUAGGAAGGAACACCAGUGGCGA
rnacentral:rRNA from 1 species